rnacentral:lncRNA from 1 species
GUGUAAACACCAUGACUCUGGGUUCUGCUCAGCAGACUGAAGGGAACACAACUAUGAUGAUUCUCUAUGCUGUACUUGGAGAAGGCUGGUUAGUCAUAAGUUUUAAAGCAGGUCAGUAUGGUGGAUUUCCAGUCUGCCAGCCUCCUUUGCAGUGGGUUGGGACCGAGUGACGGCUUCUGGCAAAUGAACUGUUUUUAGAUCAAAAAGAAUUGUACUCAAGGAAUUGAAGCUAUGGAGCCUCUGCCACAUCUGGACCUGAUUUUGAUGACAAGAUCCUGUACCUCAAGCCCGAGACUAAUUUCAUAAUUUGAUGAAUCUUUUUGGAGAGUCAUGGGAGGAAUGUAAACAAUUUGUGGCCAAAGGAGAAUUAUGGUAGUUUGAAGAUGUGGAUACAAAUUAUUUGACAUUCUUCUCAUAGAAAGGUAACUCCAUAGCUGGGAGCCAAGUCUCGAAGCCCCAUGAGGGGAAGUGGAUACAUCUCAGAAUUGGGUUUCCUGAUACACACGACUGCAUCCUUCAUCUGCCAGGCCCUGGCAUUGUUUACUGGAGAAGAUGUCAUAGGAAAUUGGGCUAUGUCAUUGAGCCACUGGAGUCACACAUGAACAGCCAUUUGGAGAUUCUGGAAUUGAUGGUUCAGAUGAAGACAUGGAAGCAUAAGAAAUUGCCAAUAUUCACUUUGGGAGACCGAGACGGGCAGAUCACCUGAGGUCAGGAGUUCGAGACCAGCCUGGCUAAUAAGGUGAAGAGAAGAAGAGAAGAGCUGCAACUCUUUGGAGAGCCCAGACCUGGAA